GUGCUCGCUUCGGCAGCACAUGUGCUAAAACUGGAACGACACAGAGAUUAGUAUGGCCCUGUGCAAGGAUGGCACUCAAAGUCGUGAAGUGUGUAUUAUAAUU